rnacentral:rRNA from 1 species
AGGGCACCACCAGGAGUGGAGCCUGCGGCUUAAUUUGACUCAACACGGGAAAUCUCACCAGGCCCGGACACCGGAAGGAUUGACAGAUUGAGAGCUCUUUCUUGAUUCGGUGGGKGGKGGUGCAUGGCCGUUCUUAGUUGGUGGAGCGAUUUGUCUGGUUAAUUCCGAUAACGAACGAGACUCUGGCCUACUAACUAGACGUUAGAUCCCUUUGUGGGUCUAUCGCAGCUUCUUAGAGGGACGGGCGGCGUUUAGCCGCACGAGAUUGAGCAAUAACAGGUCUGUGAUGCCCUUAGAUGUUCUGGGCUGCACGCGCGCUACACUGAAGGAAUCAGCGUGUGUUCCCUGUCCGAAAGGACUGGGAAACCCGUUGAACCUCCUUCGUGAUGGGGAUUGGGGAUUGCAAUUAUUCCCCAUGAACGAGGAAUUCCCAGUAGGCGCGAGUCAUAAGCUUGCGUCGAUUACGUCCCUGCCCUUUGUACACACCGCCCGUCGCUACUACCGAUCGAGUGAUUUAGU